AUGGAGAGAGAGGCAGAGAAAGAACUGAGAUCUGCGACGACAGUGAGAUGGAAGCUGGUGUUGUUUGAAGAAUAUGGAGAUAUUCGAAGUGGGUACCAGAGUGAGGUUCUGGUUGUGAUACUGAGAACAGCGGAGGGUGUAUUUGAUGCUCAAGGAGGAAGAAGAUUGAUGGUGAAUGUGAGAAGGCAGGUUUGUGGAUUAGGAAUGAUGUGA